AACGAACGCUGGCGGCAUGCCUAACACAUGCAAGUCGAACGAGACCUUCGGGUCUAGUGGCGCACGGGUGCGUAACGCGUGGGAACCUGCCCUUAGGUUCGGAAUAACUCCCCGAAAGGGGUCCUAAUACCGGAUAAUGUCAUCGGACCAAAGAUCUAUCGCCUUUGGAUGGGCCCGCGUUGGAUUAGCUAGUUGGUAGGGUAAAAGCCUACCAAGGCGACGAUCCAUAGCUGGUCUGAGAGGAUGAUCAGCCACACUGGGACUGAGACACGGCCCAGACUCCUACGGGAGGCAGCAGUGGGGAAUAUUGGACAAUGGGCGAAAGCCUGAUCCAGCAAUGCCGCGUGAGUGAUGAGGGCCUUAGUGUUGUAAAGCUCUUUUACCCGGGAUGAUAAUGACAGUACCGGGAGAAUAAGCACCGGCUAACUCCGUG
rnacentral:rRNA from 1 species